UACGUAGGGGGCAAGCGUUGUCCGGAUUUAUUGGGCGUAAAGAGCGUGUAGGCGGCCUGAAAGGUCAGCUGUGAAAACUCGAGGCUCAACCUCGAGACGUCGGUUGAAACCAUCUGGCUAGAGUCCGGAAGAGGAGUGUGGAAUUCCCGGUGUAGCGGUGAAAUGCGCAGAUAUCGGGAAGAACCCCCGUGGCGAAGGCGGUUCUCUGGGCCUGUACUGACGCUGAGGAGCGAAAGCGUGGGGAGCGAACAGG
rnacentral:rRNA from 1 species